rnacentral:rRNA from 1 species
GAUGAACGCUGGCGGCGUGCCUAACACAUGCAAGUCGAGCGAUUCUCUUCGGAGAAGAGCGGCGGACGGGUGAGUAACGCGUGGGCAACCUGCCCUGUACACACGGAUAACAUACCGAAAGGUAUGCUAAUACGGGAUAACAUAUUUUAGUCGCAUGGCUGAAAUAUCAAAGCUCCGGCGGUACAGGAUGGACCCGCGUCUGAUUAGCUAGUUGGUAAGGUAACGGCUUACCAAGGCGACGAUCAGUAGCCGACCUGAGAGGGUGAUCGGCCACAUUGGAACUGAGACACGGUCCAAACUCCUACGGGAGGCAGCAGUGGGGAAUAUUGCACAAUGGGCGAAAGCCUGAUGCAGCAACGCCGCGUGAGCGAUGAAGGCCUUCGGGUCGUAAAGCUCUGUCCUCAAGGAAGAUAAUGACGGUACUUGAGGAGGAAGCCCCGGCUAACUACGUGCCAGCAGCCGCAGUAA